UACGUAGGGGGCGAGCGUUGUCCGGAAUUAUUGGGGCGUAAAGGGCGCGCAGGCGGUCUUAUAAGUCUGAUGUGAAAGCCCACGGCUUAACCGUGGAGGGUCAUUGGAAACUGGAGGACUUGAGUACAGAAGAGGAGAGUGGAAUUCCACGUGGAGCGGUGAAAUGCGUAGAGAUGUGGAGGAACACCAGUGGCGAAGGCGACUCUCUGGUCUGUAACUGACGCUGAGGUGCGAAAGCGUGGGUAGCGAACAGGAUUAGAUACCCCUGUAGU
rnacentral:rRNA from 1 species